rnacentral:tRNA from 1 species
CUUAAUAUGGCAGAUUAGUGCAAUAGAUUUAAAUUCUAUAUAUAAAGGCUACGCCUUUUAUUAAGA